UACGGAGGGUGCAAGCGUUAUCCGGAUUCACUGGGUUUAAAGGGUGCGUAGGUGGGCUAGUAAGUCAGUGGUGAAAUCUCCGGGCUUAACCCGGAAACUGCCAUUGAUACUAUUAGUCUUGAAUACCAUGGAGGUGAGCGGAAUAUGUCAUGUAGCGGUGAAAUGCUUAGAUAUGACAUAGAAUACCAAUUGCGAAGGCAGCUGGCUACACGAAUAUUGACACUCAGGCACGAAAGCGUGGGGAUCAAACAGG
rnacentral:rRNA from 1 species